UUUGAAUAUGCUCUCUAGGUUGGUCAUAACUUUCCUUCCAAAGAGUAAGCGUAGCCACUCAAUAAAUACUCACUAAACAAAUUAAUGAAAACUAGCUCACAUUUUGACAGCACUUUGGGGUCUUGUGCUUCAUAAGGCUUAUCUCUUUUAAGCCUCACAAUUUAUACAAAUAGAUGCUAUUUUUAUUUCCAUGUGACACAUGGGGAAACUGAGGUUCACCCGGCGUAACACAGCUAGUGCCCAGCAGGGGCCGGGCUUGGCAUUCGGGUCUAUGGGAGCCCAGGUACCCAUGCCCCUGGAACCGGUUUGGGGUCUCCUGGUAGCAAUGAAGCGGGGUGAAGGGAGCGCCUUAGCAGAAGCUACCCGACGGUGCGGAAAGAAACACAAACAUCCCAUAGGCUGUGCGCGUGCGCGGAGGCGGUGGCGUUCCCCCGCGCGCUCACAGGCGAUCGGCGUCCUAAUUUAUGGCACCUGGAGAGUGGUUCAAGAAAAUCAGCUCCCCGUGCACCGCUCGGAGGCGGGUUGAGCUGCAGCUCUCCCCAGACCUGCUGCCACCACCUCCAUCAUCUCCACCUGCCAGUCUGCCUGACUCCGUCUGCAGAGGAGAGACACGGCUGGAAACUGAUAGAGGAGGCUUCACAGGGCCCCACUGCCUGGUCCAUGGGCGCUGGGUUAGAGCAAGGCAGCCCUUCAUCAUUUCUAGCAAAGUCUGUUUCUUACUUGGCAGGGGGCACUGCUCCUCUCUGGGCACCUCAGAGUCUCCUGCCUGCCAGGAAAAGGAUCAGAGAAACCUUGGGUCACCUCGCUUGGCUAACGUCACCCAUCUAGACCUAAUCCAGUCCCAGGUCCUGCAAAAACAAAAGCCACUGGACCUCAAAGGGUUUCCCUUCUUUCACCCCAGAAUACCUCUCGAAAAUGAUCUUCUUGAGAAAGAUCUCUCUGUGCUGAGGUGGGCAGAUAAGUUAAAAAAUGGAAAAUGUCAUCACAUUGCUCAGUCCAGCUCCGUGUUUUAUUUUUUGGCCGCUCCACACAGCGUGUGGGAUCUUAGUUCCCCAGCCAGGGAUCAAAUCCACACCCCCUGCACUGGAAGCUUGGAGUAGUUUUAACCAUGGGACUUCCAGGAAAUCCACCCCCUCUCCAACCUAUUUUUUAAAAAUACACACCAAAAAAAGAAAAAGCUGCCAGAAUAUUAGCGAAAAGCAUUCCCUUUGGUUAUGCCUGAGGGUAGGACGACAGAGGACGUUCUAUGCUACAUGUUUCUACGAUGUUUUCAUUGAAGGAUCGCUUGUACAGUCAGGAAUAAUAGAGUAUUUGAAAAGGGGAAUGGCGAGGGGUUCUUGGGGUCCUUGAUAUCUUGAGAAGCCAGGUGGGUUGACAGUCAGGGUUCUAGAACAGUUCAUUCAAGAGUCUGAGAGACUACUUUCCCCAGGUUGGGGAAAUUUCAGCCUUUGGUCCAGGAAUGAGUCAUCCUGAAGCA
rnacentral:lncRNA from 1 species